AGAUUGAACGCUGGCGGCAGGCCUAACACAUGCAAGUCGAGCGGUAGAGAGGUGCUUGCAUCUCUUGAGAGCGGCGGACGGGUGAGUAAUGCCUAGGAAUCUGCCCAGUGGUGGGGGAUAACGUUCGGAAACGGACGCUAAUACCGCAUACGUCCUACGGGAGAAAGCGGGGGACCUUCGGGCCUCGCGCCAUUAGAUGAGCCUAGGUCGGAUUAGCUAGUUGGUGAGGUAAUGGCUCACCAAGGCGACGAUCCGUAACUGGUCUGAGAGGAUGAUCAGUCACACUGGAACUGAGACACGGUCCAGACUCCUACGGGAGGCAGCAGUGGGGAAUAUUGGACAAUGGGCGAAAGCCUGAUCCAGCCAUGCCGCGUGUGUGAAGAAGGUCUUCGGAUUGUAAAGCACUUUAAGUUGGAGAAGGUUGUAACCUAAUACGUUGCAACUUUGACGUUACCGACAGAAUAAGCACCGGCUAACUCGUGCCAGCAGCCGA
rnacentral:rRNA from 1 species